AUUGAACGCUGGCGGAAUGCUUUACACAUGCAAGUCGAACGGCAGCACGGACUUCGGUCUGGUGGCGAGUGGCGAACGGGUGAGUAAUGUAUCGGAACGUGCCCAGUCGUGGGGGCUAACGUAGUGAAAAUUACGCUAAUACCGCAUACGAUCUAUGGAUGAAAGCGGGGGAUCGCAAGACCUCGCGCGAUUGGAGAGGCCGAUAUCAGAUUAGGUUGUUGGUGGGGUAAAGGCCCACCAAGCCAACGAUCUGUAGCUGGUCUGAGAGGACGACCAGCCACACUGGAACUGAGACACGGUCCAGACUCCUACGGGAGGCAGCAGUGGGGAAUUUUGGACAAUGGGCGAAAGCCUGAUCCAGCCAUUCCGCGUGCAGGAUGAAGGCCCUCGGGUUGUAAACUGCCUUUGUACAGGACGAAAAGGUUUCUACUAAUACUAGGAGCUCAUGACGGUACUGUAAGAAUAAGCACCGGCUAACUACGUGCCAGCCGCCGCGGUAA
rnacentral:rRNA from 1 species